CAGUCGAACGAGCGAGAGAGAGCUUGCUUUCUCAAGCGAGUGGCGAACGGGUGAGUAUCGCGUGAGGAACCUGCCUCAAAGAGGGGGACAACAGUUGGAAACGACUGCUAAUACCGCAUAAGCCCACGGGUCGGCAUCGACCAGAGGGAAAAGGAGCAAUCCGCUUUGAGAUGGCCUCGCGUCCGAUUAGCUAGUUGGUGAGGUAACGGCCCACCAAGGCGACGAUCGGUAGCCGGACUGAGAGGUUGAACGGCCACAUUGGGACUGAGACACGGCCCAGACUCCUACGGGAGGCAGCAGUGGGGAAUAUUGCACAAUGGGGGAAACCUUGAUGCAGCGACGCCGCGUGGAGGAAGAAGGUCUUCGGAUUGUAAACUCCUGUCGUUAGGGACGAUAAUGACGGUACCUAACAAGAAAGCACCGGCUAACUACGUGCCAGCAGCCGCGGUAAAACGUAGGGUGCAAGCGUUGUCCGGAAUUACUGGGUGUAAAGGGAGCGCAGGCGGGAAGACAAGUUGGAAGUGAAAACCAUGGGCUCAACCCAUGAAUUGCUUUCAAAACUGUUUUUCUUGAGUAGUGCAGAGGUAGAUGGAAUUCCCGGUGUAGCGGUGGAAUGCGUAGAUAUCGGGAGGAACACCAGUGGCGAAGGCGGUCUACUGGGCACCAACUGACGCUGAGGCUCGAAAGCAUGGGUAGCAAACAGGAUUAGAUACCCUGGUAGUCCAUGCCGUAAACGAUGAUUACUAGGUGUUGGGGGAUUGACCCCCUCAGUGCCGCAGUUAACACAAUAAGUA
rnacentral:rRNA from 1 species